rnacentral:lncRNA from 1 species
GACAAAGUAAACUCACAUAUUGUUUGAGUAAAUGCAUAAAUUUAUUUUAAAAUAUCAGUUACACGCUUAAAUUAUCCACUUAAUAUACAUUUCUAUUAUUUAAAAGUGAAGGUUUUGAGAUGAGUUUGAAUGAAAAUCCAUGCAUUUUUUCUUUUGAUUACAAUACAAUAUAAUACAAUACCAUAUUUAUACGAUACAUUAUGAAACAAUACGUAACCAUCAUUCAAACAGAACACUCAAUGGUCUUGAAGAGCAUCUGUAGAUAGAAAGCUAAAUAUGACCAUAUCUCGUGAACUGCCCUUUAUAUUCCUGAACUUUCUUAGAACACCUUCUUUCAAGAAUCCAGUUUUUUCCAACACCCUUUGUGAUCCUUUAUUGACUACAUCCACAAAAGCCUCAACCCUCUCAAGAUUUGGCCAUUCUUCAAAUAUAUUUGAUACAGCAAUUUUCACUGCCUUUGUGACAAUCCCUUUACCCCAAUAUUUGUAAGCCAAUACAUAACCAAGCUCUGCUCUACAACUAUCCAAACAACCAGAAUUUGGUGUCACAGAAAUUGCCCCAAUUGCUCUGUUUUUAAUGCAGAUAACUCGCAACCAUGGAUGGAGAAUUGCAUUAUUGUUGAUGUAAUCUAGAGCUUGGUCUUUGGAAGUGUAAGUAUCUCAACUGCAAAAUUGGCUGACUUUUUCAUCUGUUGCCCAUUCCAUGAAAUCAUCCACAUCUGACAGUUCAAUUGGCCGCAGAGUUAUUUCAGUGAAUUCGUCAUCGCUUUCUUUUCCUUCUGAUUUGCUGCUUGUUUCAUCCAUUUUCUUAGUAAGAACAAAAUUAAAGAUAUCAAAAUUUGGGGAAGGAGACUUUGCAAGAGGGAAAUUUAUGAUUGAUAAGUGUGAGAGAAGGGCAGGGGCGGCUGGUAAGGCUUAAAAAAAAGUCUUUUGCCUUAGACCUUCAAUUUUAGGGGGCCCCAUUUUUUAGUUAAUUAGGUAGGAUUAAAUUUAAAAAAUAAUAUUAGAAUUAAGACAAUAAAUGCAAAGGCCCCAUUUUUUAGUUAAUUAGGAAGGAUUAAAUUAAAAAAAAAAUUUAUUAGAACCAAGACAAUAAAUGCAAAACGGCUCAAUGAAGUGAUAGUAUGAUAGAUAUGACUAUGACUUUUUGACUUUUCAAUAAAAAGUUGUGUACUUUUUUUCUUUUUUUUUAAUGUACAAGUUAUUUAUUUUUUUACCUUAUUUUUUUCUAAUUUUAUUUCUAUAUAUUCUAUCAUCCUCCCUUUUAUUUCUUCUCACUUUCUUUUUCCUAAUCUUACAUUUCUCUUAUUCAAAGCUUAAAAAUUUACUCGUUCUAUUGAUAGUUUAUAUUUUAAAUUUGGAGAAAACUAUAUUGCAGCAGCCUGAUUCAUUUUUGGAAAUCAAGUCUUCAUAACUUUUGAAUUCAGUAAUAUCAUUCUAAUUUCUAAUAUUAUUUUUGUUUUGUGUCUUAUGUUUAUUAUAUUUUUAUUUGAUAUUGUAAAUAGUGUUUAAAUAUUUGUUAGAUUUUGAUGUCGCUAUAGAUUAAUUAAGAGGUUUAGUUCUUUUUUUUAAAACAUAUAGAGAAGAAGGAUUUACAAGUACUAUGAUUUCGGCUAAGGAAAUUGCAUUAGAGAUGAAUAUAGAACCUAUAUUUCGUAAGAAACGAGUAAUUUAUAGAAAAUAAUAAUUUGAUGAGAAUGUUGAUAAUGAAAUCACAAGAUCUCUUGAAGAAUCAUUUAGAGUUGAUUACUUCUUAUACAUAGUAGACCAAGCCAUCUUUUCACUUCAAAAUAGAUUUGAACAAUUUGAAGUAUAUGAAAAUAUUUUUGGUUUUCUAUUUAGUGGGAAAAAAUUGAGAUCAUUAGAUGAUUGAGAAUUUGAAAAAAAUAUUGUCUUAAACUUGAAUGUUCCUUAAAACAUAAUACUCACUCUGAUAUUGACGGUUUAGACUUAUUUUCUGAAUUAAAAGUGUUAAGGGAAAUCAUAAAAGUAGAAGACAAUACUCUAAUUGAGAUACUCAAUCAAAUAAAAAGACUUGAUUCAUUUCCAAAUGCUUACAUUGCUUAUAGAAUAUAAUGUUAACAAUUCCCGUAACAGUCGCCUCAGCCGAAAGAAGUUUGUCAAAAUUAAAAUAAUAAAAUAUUAUUUAAGAUCGAUAAUGUCUCAAGAAAGAUUAAGUGGUUUGGCUAUAUUAUCGAUUGAAAAAGAAUUAUUAGAAGAGAUUGACUACACAAAAAUUAUUAACAACUUUGCAUCUCAAAAAGCUAGAAAAAUAGAUUUAAAAUAAAACAUUUAUAAUUUUUUUUAAGGCCUCUAGUUUGAUUUUGGCCUUAGGCCACCAACGGGUUUGAGCCGCCCCUGAGAAGGGGUCAAUUUUGGGGGGGCCUUUUGAUUAUUCAAUACUUGGGUGGCACGCAAGACAUGCGAAUUAAAAAAAGAAGAAGACAUAACACAUAAAUAUAUCAUUUAACUUGACUUCAGUUUCAGUUGUAUAUGUGUCCUUCAAUUAUGAGUGUGCACCUCCAAGUCUCCAACUAUGAGUGUGUAUAAAUAGACGUAUUGUGUCUGUUUAAUUUUAUACAAAGUUUAAAUAUUUACUUGUGCACACCUAAAAUUAAAUGACAUAAAUAUCAGAUGAAGCUAAAUUUAAAAAAUAUAUUUAUGUAUUAUGUAUAUAUAUAUAUAAUUUGAUUUUUUGAUCAGAAAGAAAAUAUAUUUUAAUACUACUUGUCAAGAUCAAUUCUCCACUGUUAUUAUAGGGAUGGCAAUGGGGCAGGGCAAAGAUAGGGCGAGGCAGGGCAAGGGUUUAACGGGGCAAGAUAGGGCACUACUUAAAUGGGGCGGGGUAGGGCGGGGCGGGUCAAUGCUAAUAUUUUUAAAACUUUAAAAGGGCAGGGCAGGGAUGGGUUGUAUUGGGCCAAAAGGCCCAUUAUUUUCAGCUGAGCUUUGGUUGAUCCCAAAAAUAAAAUAAUGCAGAAUUGCAUAUUAACAUUAUAAAUAAUUGGUGAUAUUUAGUUUUUAUUCUCCUCUUUCAUUUUCAUAUUUUAUUAGAUAGACUUGGACUUUAAAAAUAAUUAAGAUGUCGAUAUACAAUAAUGAUUGAUAAUGCCCUAUUAUUAAAAUGAUUAAGUCACGUACUUUAUUAAAGUUUUUGCUUCUAUUUAUUGCUGAAGAAAUGCUAACAAAGAUAUAGAACAAAAUAUAUUGAAUUUUAUAACUUAAAGAUAAAAAUGCAGACUCCAGAAUUUUUUUCUUUUUUCCCUUUUUGGUUGAUUUUCUAAAGAUAGAAUCUUUUUGGGUGUGUUUGUGUAGGUGGAGGAAAGUUUGUUUUGGACAAUUUAAAUAGUAGAAUAUUUUAAGUAAAAAUUAGGCAAAUGACAUAGUAUAAGAAAGAAAUUACUUCCUUUCCCUACUCUUUCAUUAAUUACCAAAAAUCCCUUUUUUUAGUGUUUUUCGGAUACAUAAUAUAGCAGCGCGGAUACUUAAAUUAUUAAGUUGUUGUUAUCAAUUAUUAAAUUAAUAGCAGUGUGAAUACUUAAUAACGGGCGGAUACAUAAUAUAGCAGCACGAAUACUUUAAUUAAUAACGGGCGGAUACUUCGGAUGCAUAAUAUAGCAGCGCGGAUACUUUAAUUAAUAACGGGCGGAUACUUAAAUUAACGGGAGGAUGCAUAAUAUAGCAGCGCAGAUACUUUAAUUAAUAAGGGCGGAUACUUAAACUAAUAAAGUAUCCGAUUAAGUUGAAUUGGGGGGAAAUAAGGGAUUUUUGUAUUUUAGUAAAAUAGUAGGGAAAUAUUGAGAAUAGGUAAAGAAGUGUUGUGUAUUUAAGUAAUUUUUCCAUUUAAUGGUAGAUUUUUCUUUCAUGAUUUUCUUUGGUAUUGACAAUUGUUCUCCUUUGCCAUUAAGAACAAGUAUAAAGAAUCAAUAGAACAUAUAAAAAGUGCAAAAGUAACACUUAAACGAGGCAGGGUGUAGCGGGGCAGGGCGGGACGGGUUACAACAUUGAAAAAUUCUAAAUAUGGCGGGGUAGGGCGGGUUAAAAUCUUUGCGGGUCGAGGCUUGCCCCGCCCUAACCCACCCCAACCCGCCCUAUUGCCAUUCCUCUGUUAACAAGUCACGUGACCAUUUUCUCCAUCCAUUUCUAUUUAUAUUUCUACUAGAUAGGAUAUGCGUGCUCCGUGCGAGUGCCUAUUGUUUGAAUAUAUAACCAACUUUUGCUAGGUAUGUAAUAAGUUCGUGCAAGCAAAAAAAUGGAGAAUACUGUUUUCCAUGGCACGAGGAAUUUUGAAGAAUAAUAAAUGUGGAAG